rnacentral:sRNA from 3 species
AUGCACCCUCGUGCACUCCGGUUCCUCAGUGCCGCCCGCCUUGCGCGACGGUUGUUAGCGACGUUUCGCAGCC